rnacentral:rRNA from 1 species
GAUGAACGCUAGCGGCAGGCUUAAUACAUGCAAGUCGAGGGACAGCACAGGUAGCAAUACUGGGUGGUAACCGGCAAACGGGUGCGGAACACGUACACAACCUUCCUUUAAGUGGGGGAUAGCCCAGAGAAAUUUGGAUUAAUACCCCGUAAUAUAGUUGAAUGGCAUCAUUUGAUUAUUAUAGCUACGGCGCUUAAUGAUGGGUGUGCGGCUGAUUAGAUAGUUGGCGGGGUAACGGCCCACCAAGUAUACGAGCAGUAGCUGAUGUGAGAGCUGGUUCAGCCACACGGGAACUGAGACACGGGACCGACUCCUACGGGAGGCAGCAGUAAGGAAUAUUGGUCAAUGGACUCAAGUCUGAACCAGCCAUGCCGCGUGAAGGAUUAAGGUCCUCUGGAUUGUAAACUUCUUUUAUUUGGGACGAAAAAGUGCCUUUCUAGGUCAACUGACGGUACCAGAUGAAUAAGCACCGGCUAACUCCGUGCCAGCCGCCGCGGUAAUAC